rnacentral:rRNA from 1 species
GACGAACGCUGGCGGCGUGCUUAACACAUGCAAGUCGAACGCUGAACCCGCUUCGGUGGGGGAUGAGUGGCGAACGGGUGCGUAACACGUGGGCAACCUGCCCCCGGCUCUGGGAUAACUCCAAGAAAUGGGGGCUAAUACCGGAUGUGACCGCUGGCCGCAUGGUCUGGUGGUGGAAAGGGUUUCCGGCUGGGGAUGGGCACGCGGCCUAUCAGUUUGUUGGUGGGGUAGUGGCCUACCAAGGCGAGGACGGGUAGCCGGCCGGAGAGGGUGACCGGGCACACUGGUACUGAGACAGGGCCCAGACUCCAACGGGAGGCAGCAGUGGGGAAUCUUGCGCAAUGGGCGGAAGCCUGAGGCAGCGACGCCGCGUGGGGGAUGACGGCCUUCGGGUUGUAAACCUCUUUCAGCAGGGACGAAGCGCAAGUGACGGUACCUGCAGAAGAAGCACCGGCCAACUACGUG